CCUCGACGAGCACUACAAACUAGUCAGAGACACCUAAAAAGUACUCGGGGCUGCUACAUUUGACUAAAAAGUACUCGAGGGCUUGUCUUCCAUACACUUAUGGGCCCACCGGAAGGUUUGGACAGUCCUAGAUAUGGGGUUGUACACCGAGAUGUGUCAGACACAGAGACUACGGUGUAGAAUGAUGUGGUCUAUAUGGAAGACAAGAACUACUCAUAGCAAUUAGAGUAGGACUCACUAGUCGAAUCCGACUAGUAUUCUUGUAAACAACCGACCUGUAACCCUGCCCCCGGCAAUAUAAGGCGAGACAGGGACCCCCUCCAAACAAGUUCAAUCAAUACAACACAACCAACACACAGGACAUAGGGUAUUACGCGAUCUAAGCAGCCUGAACCUAUCUAAAUCAUGUGUUCAAGUUCACCUUCAAGUUCCUAAUCUUGACGAGCCCCACGCAUAAAAACACUACCUCGGGCACCCCCUUGGUAGGUUGCCGGGUAUGAACACCGACACAUAUGGCUAGCAUCGGGGGGCAGGGCUACACAGGCCAAGCUUUACAGGACUCCUGCAUGGAAUUUUUUCCCUCUCAUUAUGUCUUGGAUGGUGUAGAAACUAGGUCUCAUGCAAGACCUGAUUUCCUUCUCUUUCUUUCAUUUACUCCCUUGCCACAUCAUCUUUUAUCUUAUAUGGCAGCUCAUUUAAUUCUAUGGACACUAUCCUAGUCAUUGGGUUGGGACUGCUCUAACUCGCAGUUUUUAUGUGUCUGCACCCUAUCCUCUACUUCAAAUAUAUGAUAGGUGGGUCCUAUGUGAGGGGUACGAUGGCCCCAAUUUUGGUGAGAAAGGUUUUCAACUGUUUUCGAUCUUUAUAGUAUAGAUGUGGCGGAACCGUCGAAAUUAACUUGGCUAAAGCACACUUAAGUUGCUUAACACAUGAUCAUGUACUUUAAUCAAGUCAAUUCGGUAGUCCGUCAGAUUUCAUCUGAUAAACCACUUACCUUAGGAUCGAGAAAGCAAGACUCGCACAAAGGCGAGUGGUUACAGAGAUUACAACAAUCCAUCAUAAUUAAAGAAGUGCAUCAAAUUAUUACAACCUCAAGUUCGAAAUUCAAGCAAAGUUUGUCAAGUUCUCAAACAACCAAAAUAACUGAGAAAGCUAAAUGUCGUUGCAGGAUAUCGUGACGAAGCCGAUCAUGACAUCAAUGAUCCCGAUCCUCGCAAUCCGAGGAGGGAUCCCACUCAACCGUCCAACCAGGAGGAAGUUGGGGAGGCCAAGUGCCACUUGCAGCGAGCUCAGAGGCAUCAACAUCACUUGAAAAGAUGUGCCACAACAAGGCUGAGCGAUUACACUCAACAAGACUUAACCGACCGGUGGUACUACUCCACCAACACCUAGACAUGCAAGCUUUUUGGCUAGAGGGGUUUGUUUUUGCCAAAGCAACUAGUGUAGGUCCUUACCUUCAAUAUUUUAGCCACAAGUUCUACAUUCAAUUACCAAUCUAAGUUAGCAGCUAUACUAAACAAGCAUAGUUUUCCAAGCAAUUAGUAUAGGUAGCAAAUUUUGAUCAUCGUCAUCUUUCAUUCUUACUCAGUGUAGCAUAGCGAUCAAGCAGUCCCAAACUGUGAGAGGCAGAUGAAUCAAUUUGAAUUUCUUAACCAUGCAUGGCAAACCUAAUCCCACGACAUCCGCGCACCGCGAAGGGUCGCUUCAUUUGUCAGUUGUCCUUAUCAAUUCCUAGACCCGUGUCGGACCCACUUCCCUUCGUACAAGGCUCCACAGACCCAGCCUCUGCCGUUCUAUGACCACACUUGUCACCACAUGCGGCCGCAUGGGAACUCUGUUCCAGAGAUAGUGGAACGAUCCGCUCACGUUCCGGUUCAAUCAGGUACUAGGCUUCCCCAUCCCAUACUAGGUAUGAGAUUAGUACUUUACAACACUUGAUCAUGAACACUAUCACAUCUCGACCUUAGUCCAAUUUCAUGUAGACAGACGGGGCAAUCCACCGACCACCAAAAUAGUUCACAGAGCCCGGCCCCAUCCUUCGUCCUUAUAGUUGUAACAAAAGGAAAGCAAACCACUCCUAUAACUCAAGAGUGACAGUCAAUCACUCGACUUUUACUGAGUCCUAUUAAGCAUUGCAACUACUCGGCCUAUCAUACUAGUGUUCAGAUCAAAGGGCACUAAUUCAUGCCUCUAUGGUUUCAAUCAAUUCCUAAAAACAUAAAUGCGCAAUCAAGCAACCAAAUAUAUUGCAAGUAGUUAAAGAUAGGAAUUUAUGCUCCCAGGCUUGCCUUCACAUAGGGAGUUAGCGAACUGGUCCUCGGCUUGCUCCGGUACGGGCUCGGCUCCAAUUGGCUACAGAUCAGCUACGGCUCCUUCUUUUGGCGCCGAGUGAAGCUCGUAUGUCCCGUCAGCGAGGUUCAGCUCUACACGAAAUGCAAAUGCAUCAAGUUUAAUUCCAAGAUUUCUCAUAGGAUGUAAAACACGAGUUAGUACUGAAGUAGAAGUUACAUUACGGCCACAUUCACCUAAACAAGUUUCUACACCUUCUUUAUCUGCAUAAGGUAAGGUGCGUUAUGGUGCAAAACCUAGGGUUGAUUUGAUGGUGAUUAUGUACAUAUAUGCACUUAACUUUAUUAAACUUUAGAUCAACAAAUUAUCCUAAUUCUGAUUGUUCUUUUGUACCUCUUCCAAAAAUUACCUUUAUCGUUAUUCGAGGUUUCUUUCUUUCAUUUAGUUAGGUUCAUCUUCCAAUUUUUAUUUCUAUCUUCAAACAGUAAGCUAUGAAGUUGAAACUUCACCAAUAACUUAGCUUUGGCACAGGUAAGCUACUGCAUAAAUUUGGGAUCCAUGGGAGGUGCAUAAAAAGAAUUAAAAUUACUUUUUUACCCUAAGGUAGCAUACAUUUAAACAUUUUUAAAAUAGAAACCAUAAUGGAACUGGUCAUGGAAUUUUAACAGUCAGUUAUAGGGGUGAUACAGAGCUCUUGGUGAAUUUUUCAUAAUUUUUAGUGAAGGGCAUCUUUUUUGAUACAUUUACCCCAUUUAUUCUUCCCUAAAAAGGACAGUGGUUUUUCAUUCUAUUUCUGAUCAGGUUCUAUAUUUUUCCUACAAACUACUCUAUACCACUAACUUAUUCCAAUUGGUUUCACAUUUUUUAUCAUCUCUGGUUUAAUUAUUGUACAAAAAGACAAGAGCAACCUUAGAUUUCCAUGAUAAAACUAAAAUAGAGAUUUAAACAUCUGAGCUAGGCUCCACAUGAUUUUUAUAAGCUUCCAUUCUCUAGAACAAGCACUUGAGAGUUGGAUUUACCUUUUUAGCAUUUUUUUGUGAUUUGCUAUGAUUUAAUUAGCUUAAACAAGUAUUAAAUCAUAUAACAUUAAUCAUGGCAGAGACAAGUGCUAUGAUUUUAUUAGAAACUACACUUUAUACUGAGUCUAGCAAAAUUUGUUUGACAUUUUUCUGAAUUUUCUAUGAGUUUUGGUGAAUUUCCAAAGCUAAAUACAUUUUUUGCCAAUUAUAAAACAAAAACCGAGGUGAGCUUGCGAUCUAACCUUUGCGUCUAUACUUUAUUUUUGUAGGGGUCCUUGGUUUUUGCACUAAAGCCCCUGAUUCGAUUUUCUCAAUCGCAAUCGGGUCCCUGGGUGGCGCACGGCGGCGGGCGGGCAAAAUCCCGGUGAAGCCCCGGCGGGCUUGGGGCAGAAAGAGACCGAGGAGGAACGGUGGCUCACCUGCGACUGAUUUGAGGUAGUUGCGGGCAUCUGGGAGGUCUACGUGGGAGUGGAACACGAUGGCAGACGGCGUGCCACGGUGUUCCGGCAGUGACAGCACUCUUCGCGGGCAAUGAACGGGCUCUAGAGCUGCGCGAGGGGGAGGUGGAGCUGCUAGUGGUUUCGGUGAGGUGCGGGGCAGUGCGAAAGGGGGAGCUCCACGGAGAGGGUGUGCGGUGGAGCUGAGAGUGAGAAUAGGGGCGAGCGACGAGGUUCGAGGGCGAGCGGGGAAAGGGGCACAGGCAGCGUCGGGCUUCCCUUUAUAGGGCCAGGGUGGAGCGGCGAGCGAGGCGGAGCAGCGGUGCUAGCAGGUGGGACCAGAGGGCAUCACGGCACUGCGGCGGUCAUUAAUGGUGACGGCGCCAUUGGCGGACAGAGGAGGGAGAGGGGUGCGGCAGGCUAGGGUGCUGCAGGCGAGGCGUGCAGGUGCGGGUGAAGCGAGCUUGCACAGCAAUAGCGGCUUUGCCAGGACGCGUCACUGGCGAGGCUAGGAGGAGUUGUCGCGGCCGGGGCGACGGUUGGUGGAGGCGGCGGUGUCGCGGGGCACGAGCUGGCAGAGCUGCAACAUGGCGUGCCCUCGGGCGAGGCAAGGCGAGGUAGCGGGUAGGGCGUGCAGGGUGAGCGCGAAGCGCAACUGGGCGUGGGGCACUAGAAGCAUCGUCUUGUCGCGGCCGGAGACCGGGCGAGACGGCUUCGCCGGUGAAGCCGCGCCACGCGGCGGCAGCACUCUGGAGAGCGCGGCGCACGUGCCCUGGCGCGCUCUGGGCCGAGGGAUUUGCGGGAUCUCUCACUGGGCCAAUUUCCAAGCGCAAGAUCUCCCGAGUCUUGAACCACACAACAUUAACUCCCUUUACAAAAGUUGUAGUCCUUAGAUCCAAAUUCAACGUUCAUAAUUGAACCAAGUUCAAAAUCACAGCAGAUUUGAAGAUAUAAAGCUUUAAAGUUUGGAGGAACGCUGGAUUGCAGACUUAGGCAAAAAUGGCAGUUUGGCCGAUUUUUUGGUCUUGGCUGACUGGAGCCCAAAAUUUGAAAAGUUUCUGCUGCGAAUUUGACCAGAGCUCAAAUGAUAAAGUUGUUGUACAAGCUUAGUUCUUAAACUCUUAUAAAGGGUUUUUCUGAUCUUCUGUUUAACUUUUGAGAGAUAAGCUCAUGCCACGAUGCCUGGUUGAGCUGCUUCCAGACUUAGCCUAGAUUGCUGAUUGAGGCUGGGUUGACCAAACUAGCUGACUUUGACCUGGGUUUUGGAAGCUUUCUGUGCAGAUUUAGACCUUACUCCUUUAGUCAAAGUUGUUAAGGGCUUGAAGCUCUAAAACUUUUGUACAAAGCUCAACUUGAGUUCAUAUUAGAAAUUUCGAAAUAAAGAUCCCCAAGGUUGGGACUUCAACUGUUUUUCUUAAAUUGACACAGAUUCAAAUUUUGAGUUUUUGAAGGUUUUCUGCUCAGAUUCAGACAAAAUACCAAAAAGAAAAGUUGUUGGGAAAGUUGAGUUCUACAACUCUUAGUUGGACAUAUUUUUAAAUUCUUAAUAAAAAAUUUGAGUUAUGCUUUAAACAGCAGUUAAGCUUGUGAGGGCAAAAGUGUCUUUUUACUUGUCUUCUCAACUGCCAAAUGUUCUUCUUUAUUCUCUAAUGGCUUUAUUUAAUAUUAAACAUGAUUUAAUUAGGCUAUAUUGUUACAAUAGACUAACCUAUCUUUCAAAUAUAUGACAGGUGGGUCCGAUGUGAGGGGUACGAUGGCCCCAAUUUUAGUGAGAAAGGUUUUCAAUUGUUUUCGAUCUUUAUAGUAUAGACUAGCAAAAAAUUUUGUGCAUUGCUACGGAUCUUUACACGCUCUCAGGUUAUUAUUCUCUUGUUUCAUGUAUGCUCGCUUAGCUACUAUAUUGAUGUUGUCACCUCCAUGCAACCACUCAUGCUUUAGCUAAAGCCUACACAAAUAGCAGUCUGUAUGAUGGUGAAGAGCCGCAUGAGAAGGUGGGGUUCCCACUACUAGAAUUUAAUGAUUUUCCUAGAGUUUCUAUUUUCCUAGGAAGAUUUAGAGCACCCAAGAGAGAUAUUAAAAUAAAAGACCUCAUGAUGUUUGAAGUUUAGAUAACUUGAUAUUGAAUACAAAGAUAACUAAAUAAAACUAUAAUGUGAAAAUGUUUAAUCACCGAGCAUUGCACAACGAAGGUUGUCAUAACUGGUAAGUAACUCUCGGGCAAUAUACAGAGAUAUAGAAUGACAUUCACGUGUACCAGCCUAAUUGCCUAAUGCAGCCCAAACCGGCCCACCACACCCAACCGGCCAACUUCUCGAAUUCCACAGCCUUGGUAUCCCUCACCUCUUUCUUUCAAUCUCCCUCGCGGCUCGCGCCAUCACGAGCUCCUCCUGUUUGUUCCCGUCACCGUUCCCCUCCGUCCCCCCACUACAACUGCGUGAGGAGGCCGUAGUCUUGGUGAGGAGCUCAUCCAGCACCACGGUAUCCUUUUGCCCCAUCUCCUUCCAACACCUCUCC
rnacentral:lncRNA from 1 species